AGUGAACGCUGGCGGUAGGCCUAACACAUGCAAGUCGAACGGCAGCACAGUAAGAGCUUGCUCUUACGGGUGGCGAGUGGCGGACGGGUGAGGAAUACAUCGGAAUCUACUUUUUCUUGGGGGAUAACGUAGGGAAACUUACGCUAAUACCGCAUACGACCUACGGGUGAAAGCAGGGGAUCUUCGGACCUUGCGCGAUUGAAUGAGCCGAUGUCGGAUUAGCUAGUUGGCGGGGUAAAGGCCCACCAAGGCGACGAUCCGUAGCUGGUCUGAGAGGAUGAUCAGCCACACUGGAACUGAGACACGGUCCAGACUCCUACGGGAGGCAGCAGUGGGGAAUAUUGGACAAUGGGCGCAAGCCUGAUCCAGCCAUACCGCGUGGGUGAAGAAGGUCUUCGGGUUGUAAAGCCCUUUUGUUGGGAAAGAAAAGCAGCAGGUUAAUACCCCGCUGUUCUGACGGUACCAAAAGAAUAAGCACCGGCUAACUUCGUG
rnacentral:rRNA from 1 species